rnacentral:rRNA from 1 species
UACGGGGGGAGCAAGCGUUGUUCGGAUUUACUGGGCGUAAAGGGCGCGUAGGCGGCGUGACAAGUCACUUGUGAAAUCUCCGGGCUUAACCCGGAGCGGCCAAGUGAUACUGUCGUGCUAGAGUGCGGAAGGGGCUACUGGAAUUCUCGGUGUAGCGGUGAAAUGCGUAGAUAUCGAGAGGAACACCUGCGGCGAAGGCGGGUUGCUGGGCUGACACUGACGCUGAAGCGCGAAAGCUAGGGGAGCGAACGGG